rnacentral:rRNA from 1 species
UACGAAGGGGGCUAGCGUUGUUCGGAAUUACUGGGCGUAAAGCGUGCGCAGGCGGCUGCUCAAGUCAGGGGUGAAAGCCCAGAGCUCAACUCUGGAAUUGCCUUUGAGACUGAGUGGCUUGAGUACGGGAGAGGUGAGUGGAAUUCCCAGUGUAGAGGUGAAAUUCGUAGAUAUUGGGAAGAACACCGGUGGCGAAGGCGGCUCACUGGCCCGUAACUGACGCUCAUGCACGCAGCGUGGGGAUCAAACAGG